AUUGAACGCUGGCGGCAGGCUUAACACAUGCAAGUCGAACGAGUGGCGGACGGGUGAGUAAUGCUUGGGAAUCUAGCUUAUGGAGGGGGAUAACUACGGGAAACUGUAGCUAAUACCGCGUACCAUAGGUUGAGCCCAAGUGGGAUUAGGUAGUUGGUGAGGUAAAGGCUCACCAAGCCGACGAUCGCUAGCUGGUCGGAGAGGAUGACAAGCCGACCGGGAACCGAGGCACGGGCAAGACUCCUACGGGAGGAAGCAGUGGGGAAUAUUGCGCAAGGGGGGGAAGCCUGACGCAGCCAUGCAGCGUGAAUGAAGAAGGCCUGCGGGUGGUAAAGUUCUGUCAGCGGGGAGGCGUUACCCGCAGAAGAAGCACCGGCUAACUCCGUGCCAGCAGCAGCGGUAAUAC
rnacentral:rRNA from 1 species